rnacentral:rRNA from 1 species
AAUAUUGGACAAUGGGCGCAAGCCUGAUCCAGCCAUGCCGCGUGGGUGAAGAAGGCCUUAGGGUUGUAAACCCCUUUCAGCGGGGAAGAUAAUGACGGUACCCGCAGAAGAAGUCCCGGCUAACUCCGUGCCAGCAGCCGCGGUAAUACGGAGGGGACUAGCGUUGUUCGGAAUUACUGGGCGUAAAGCGCACGUAGGCGGAUUUGUAAGUCAGGGGUGAAAUCCCGGGGCUCAACCUCGGAACUGCCUUUGAUACUGCAAAUCUCGAGUCCGGAAGAGGUGAGUGGAAUUCCUAGUGUAGAGGUGAAAUUCGUAGAUAUUAGGAAGAACACCAGUGGCGAAGGCGGCUCACUGGUCCGGUACUGACGCUGAGGUGCGAAAGCGUGGGGAGCAA